UACGUAGGGUGCGAGCGUUAAUCGGAAUUACUGGGCGUAAAGCGUGCGCAGGCGGUGAUGUAAGACAGUUGUGAAAUCCCCGGGCUCAACCUGGGAACUGCAUCUGUGACUGCAUUGCUGGAGUGCGGCAGAGGGGGGAUGGAAUUCCACGUGUAGCAGUGAAAUGCGUAGAGAUGUGGAGGAACACCGAUGGCGAAGGCAGCUCUCUGGGGACGGUACUGACGCUGAGACGCGAAAAGCGUGGGGGA
rnacentral:rRNA from 1 species